rnacentral:rRNA from 1 species
ACGGAGGGUGCUAGCGUUGUUCGGAAUUACUGGGCGUAAAGCGCGUGUAGGCGGAUUCAGAAGUCGGGUGUGAAAGCCCUGGGCUCAACCCAGGAAGUGCGCCCGAAACCAUGAGUCUUGAGGUCCGGAGGGGAUCGGGGAAUUCCCAGUGUAGAGGUGAAAUUCGUAGAUAUUGGGAAGAACACCGGCGGCGAAGGCGCCGAUCUGGACGGAUUCUGACGCUGAGACGCGAAAGCGUGGGUAGCAAACA